GACGAACGCUGGCGGCGUGCUUAACACAUGCAAGUCGAACGGAAAGGCCCUGCUUUUGUGGGGUGCUCGAGUGGCGAACGCGUGCGUAACACGUGAGUAACCUGCCCUUGACUUUGGGAUAACUUCAGGAAACUGGGGCUAAUACCGGAUAGGAGCUCCUGUUGCAUUGUGGGGGUUGGAAAGUUUCGGCGGUUGGGGAUGGACUCGCGGCUUAUCAGCUUGCUGGUGGGGUAGUGGCUUACCAAGGCUUUGACGGGUAGCCGGCCUGAGAGGGUGACCGGCCACAUGGGGACUGAGAGACGGACCAGACUCGUACGGGAGGCAGCAGGGGGGAAUAUUGCACAGUGGGCGGAAGCCUGAGGAAGAAGCGCCGCGUGCGGGAUGACGGCCUUCGGGUUGAGAACCGCUUUCGCCUGUGACGAAGCGUGAGUGACGGUAAUGGGUAAAGAAGCACCGGCUAACUACGUG
rnacentral:rRNA from 1 species